UGAACCUGCGGAAGGAUCAUUACCGAGUGCGGGCCCUCUGGGUCCAACCUCCCAUCCGUGUCUAUCUGUACCCUGUUGCUUCGGCGUGGCCACGGCCCGCCGGAGACUAACAUUUGAACGCUGUCUGAAGUUUGCAGUCUGAGUUUUUAGUUAAACAAUCGUUAAAACUUUCAACAACGGAUCUCUUGGUUCCGGCAUCGAUGAAGAACGCAGCGAAAUGCGAUAAUUAAUGUGAAUUGCAGAAUUCAGUGAAUCAUCGAGUCUUUGAACGCACAUUGCGCCCCCUGGUAUUCCGGGGGGCAUGCCUGUCCGAGCGUCAUUGCUGCCCUCAAGCACGGCUUGUGUGUUGGGCUUCCGUCCCUGGCAACGGGGACGGGCCCAAAAGGCAGUGGCGGCACCAUGUCUGGUCCUCGAGCGUAUGGGGCUUUGUCACCCGCUCCCGUAGGUCCAGCUGGCAGCUAGCCUCGCAACCAAUCUUUUUAACCAGGUUGACCUCGGAUCAGGUAGGGAUACCCGCUGAACUUAAGCAUAUCA
rnacentral:rRNA from 1 species